rnacentral:lncRNA from 1 species
GCCAUAAUUUUAGUCAAAAAUUUACAGCCGCAAACCACCAUUGCAGACCACCGUUAGACCACCAUCAUCUCGAAAAUACAACAUGUUAACACUAAAUCAAAACCUAUAUCUGGUUGUGGUUGCAUGGAAUUAAAUAAUAUGCAAGCAAUAUCAAAAUGCACAAGAUCUAUAUUAUGAAUAACAAUAUUAAGAUUAGAUGCACAUAUCAAAAUUAUCAACAGAUCACAUAAACAAGUAAAAUGGUGAAUUAGAAAGAGUACACCUUGAUUUUGUGGAGUAUGUUCACACAAAAAGAGUCAUUUUCAAAUAUGAUCCGUCCUUUAAAGAUAUCCUUGCAUAAGUCGGUGAGUAGAUCGAUAUCCCAAUAUUUGAAUCAGUUGAAAACGCAAAUCAGA